AUACUUUCCUGGUGGGGAGAUACCGUGAUCAGGAAGGUGGUUUUCCCCGGGUAAGGCUUUUCCCCUGCACUCCAGAUGUGCUGACCCCUGUGAUGCCCCAUAUGCUGGAAACUCAGCUGCAUAAUUUGCAGUGGUGUGGGACUGUGUUCACACCGUGCUUUG
ensembl:snRNA U1 U1 spliceosomal RNA